GUGCUCAUUUUGGCAGCACAUAUAUUCAAAUUGGAAUGAUCUAGAGUUUAGCAUGGCCCCUGGGCAAGGAUGACAUGCAAAUUUGAGAAGUAUUCCAUAUUUUU